rnacentral:rRNA from 1 species
AACAGGAUUAGAUACCCUGGUAGUCCACCCCGUAAACGUUGGGAACUAGUUGUGGGGGCCUUUCCACGGUCUCCGUGACGCAGCUAACGCAUUAAGUUCCCCGCCUGGGGAGUACGGCCGCAAGGCUAAAACUCAAAGGAAUUGACGGGGACCCGCACAAGCGGCGGAGCAUGCGGAUUAAUUCGAUGCAACGCGAAGAACCUUACCAAGGCUUGACAUAUACGAGAACGGGCUAGAAAUAGUCAACUCUUUGGACACUCGUAUACAGGUGGUGCAUGGUUGUCGUCAGCUCGUGUCGUGAGAUGUUGGGUUAAGUCCCGCAACGAGCGCAACCCUCGUUCUCUGUUGCCAGCACGUAAUGGUGGGAACUCAGGGGAUACUGCCGGGGUCAACUCGGAGGAAGGUGGGGAUGACGUCAAAUCAUCAUGCCCCUUAUGUCUUGGGCUUCACGCAUGCUACAAUGGCCGGUACAAAGGGCUGCAAUACCGUGAGGUGGAGCGAAUCCCAAAAAGCCGGUCCCAGUUCGGAUUGAGGUCUGCAACUCGACCUCAUGAAGUCGGAGUCGCUAGUAAUCGCAGAUCAGCAACGCUGCGGUGAAUACGUUCCCGGGUCUUGUACACACCGCCCGUCAAGUCAUGAAAGUCGGUAACACCUGAAGCCGGUGGCCUAACCCUUGUGGAGGGAGCCGUCGAAGGUGGGAUCGGUAAUUAGGACUAAGUCGUAACAAGGUAACC